rnacentral:rRNA from 1 species
GUGGUACCAUCAGAUCUGACAACUAUUAAUCAUCAGACUUUUUUCCCACUUGACAGAGCUUUACGACCCGAAAGCCUUCUUCACUCACGCGGCGUUGCUGCGUCAGGGUUUACCCCAUUGCGCAAAAUUCCUC